rnacentral:lncRNA from 1 species
UUUUCACAACUGCCGACAAUAAACACCACCCUCCACCACUCUAAACAUAACCAACACCACCAUUGUUCUCCAUCAACCACCACCGAACCAACGUCACCAACGCCCACCACUGCCCCACCUGCUACCUCCCACCACCGCACCAGCUCUUCAGAUCCAGCACCGACUCUGAUCAGAAUCCACACCAGACCCCGUUCUCCAUGCUUGACCCCUAAUUUGGUGGAUUCUUCCUCAAACCUAAAAAAUCCUUGCACUGGAAAUGUGGAUAAUUUUGAAACAUGGGAAAAGGAUGAAGAUGAUGUUGAUAUGGUUUAAUUUGUGAAUGUUGAAAUGUGAGAAACUAAUAUGUAGUGUGGUGGCAGUGCUAGCAGGUGGUGUAUGGUGGUGCUAA